rnacentral:rRNA from 1 species
GACGAACGCUGGCGGCGUGCUUAACACAUGCAAGUCGAACGGUAAGGCCCUUCGGGGUACACGAGUGGCGAACGGGUGAGUAACACGUGGGUGAUCUGCCCUGCACUUCGGGAUAAGCCUGGGAAACUGGGUCUAAUACCGGAUAGGACCCUGGGAUGCAUGUCCUGGGGUGGAAAGCUUUUGCGGUGUGGGAUGGGCCCGCGGCCUAUCAGCUUGUUGGUGGGGUGAUGGCCUACCAAGGCGACGACGGGUAGCCGGCCUGAGAGGGUGACCGGCCACACUGGGACUGAGACACGGCCCAGACUCCUACGGGAGGCUGCAGUGGGGAAUCUUGCGCAAUGAGCGACAGCUUGACGCAGCAACGCCGCGUGAGGGAAGAAGGCUUUCGGGUCGUAAACCUCUUUCAGUUAGGACGAAGCUUUAUUGGUUAAUAACCAAUUGGAGUGACGGUACUUUCAGAAGAAGCCCCGGCUAAC